UCUACGGGUGGCAGCAGUGAGGAAUAUUGGUCAAUGGCCGAGAGGCUGAACCAGCCAAGUCGCGUGAGGGAAGACGGCCCUACGGGUUGUAAACCUCUUUUGUCGGGGAGCAAAGCGCGUCACGUGUGCCUCAUUGCGAGUACCCGAAGAAAAAGCAUCGGCUAACUCCGUGCCCGCAGCCGCGGUAAUACGGAGGAUGCGAGCGUUAUCCGGAUAGAUUGGGUUGAAAGGGUGCGCAGGCGGGGGUGCACGUCAGCGGUCAAAUUGCGGGGCGCAACCCCGUACUGCCGUUGAAACUGCAGCCCUGUAGUGCGGGAGAAGUAGGCGGAAGGCGUGGUGUAGCGGUGAAAUGCAUAGAUAUCACGCAGAACUCCGAUUGCGAAGGCAGCAUACCGGAGCGCAACUGACGCUCAUGCACGAAAGCGUGGGUAUCGAACAGGAUUAGAUACCCCAGUAGUC
rnacentral:rRNA from 1 species